AAGUCGAGCGGACAGAUGGGAGCUUGCUCCCUGAUGUUAGCGGCGGACGGGUGAGUAACACGUGGGUAACCUGCCUGUAAGACUGGGAUAACUCCGGGAAACCGGGGCUAAUACCGGAUGCUUGUUUGAACCGCAUGGUUCAGACAUAAAAGGUGGCUUCGGCUACCACUUACAGAUGGACCCGCGGCGCAUUAGCUAGUUGGUGAGGUAACGGCUCACCAAGGCGACGAUGCGUAGCCGACCUGAGAGGGUGAUCGGCCACACUGGGACUGAGACACGGCCCAGACUCCUACGGGAGGCAGCAGUAGGGAAUCUUCCGCAAUGGACGAAAGUCUGACGGAGCAACGCCGCGUGAGUGAUGAAGGUUUUCGGAUCGUAAAGCUCUGUUGUUAGGGAAGAACAAGUGCCGUUCAAAUAGGGUUCCACGGCUAACUACGUGCCAGCAGCCGCGGUAAUACGUAGGUGGCAAGCGUUGUCCGGAAUUAUUGGGCGUAAAGGGCUCGCAGGCGGUUUCUUAAGUCUGAUGUGAAAGCCCCCGGCUCAACCGGGGAGGGUCAUUGGAAACUGGGGAACUUGAGUGCAGAAGAGGAGAGUGGAAUUCCACGUGUAGCGGUGAAAUGCGUAGAGAUGUGGAGGAACACCAGUGGCGAAGGCGACUCUCUGGUCUGUAACUGACGCUGAGGAGCGAAAGCGUGGGGAGCG
rnacentral:rRNA from 1 species